ACGGAGAGGAACUCAAGAGCCUAAAAGGUGUAGUUCCUGGAAACAAUGGGGACGUUCAUCAGCCAAACCAUGGUACGAUACUGCAUUACUGAAUCUCUCUGGGUGUUUGUGUUCAUUUAAAUCAGUAUCGAGAUUGAUAUAUCUGUGUUUUCAGCAGAUGGGGAAACGAGACAUUCAAAAAAUGGUGGGAACGCGUCUGUUCAGGAGGGAGAUUUAGAAACUAGUGUGCUUCUUA
rnacentral:lncRNA from 1 species